UACAGAGGUCUCAAGCGUUUGUUCGGAUUCAUUGGGCGUAAAGGGCGCGUAGGCGGCGGGGUAAGUCGGGUGUGAAAUCUCAGAGCUCAACUCUGAAAUGGCACUUGAUACUGCUCUGCUAGAGGAGUGGAGAGGAGAUUGGAAUUCACGGUGUAGCAGUGAAAUGCGUAGAUAUCGUGAGGAAGACCGGUGGCGAAGGCGGAUCUCUGGACAGUUCCUGACGCUGAGGCGCGAAAGCGUGGGGAGCAAACAGG
rnacentral:rRNA from 1 species